GGUCUGCCAGAGUGUGCAGCAGUCCACCGUGGGCUUUGAAAACGCUUUCCUUGAUAAAAUUUAAGCGUUUUAUAAGAGGAUGCCGGGGAAGGUUUUCCGGUUUAUCCCGGAGGGCUUGUAGCUCAGUUGGUUAGAGCGCGCGCUUGAUAAGCGUGAGGUCGGAGGUUCAAGUCCUCCCAGGCCCACCAAUA
rnacentral:tRNA from 1 species